rnacentral:rRNA from 1 species
UUGUCAUGCCAAUGGCACUGCCCGGUAGCUAAAUGCGGAAGAGAUAAGUGCUGAAAGCAUCUAAGCACGAAACUUGCCCCGAGAUGAGUUCUCCCUGACUCCUUGAGAGUCCUGAAGGAACGUUGAAGACGACGACGUUGAUAGGCCGGGUGUGUAAGCGCAGCGAUGCGUUGAGCUAACCGGUACUAAUGAACCGUGAGGCUUAACCUUACAACGCCGAAGCUGUU